UCUUUUCUAGAAUCCAAUUCUGGUUUGGCCCUGAGGCUGGUGAAUGGAGGUGACCAGUGUCAGGGCCAGGUGGAGGUCCUGUACCAAGUCUCCUGGGGCACCGUGUAUGAUGACACCAAUGACGCCAAUGUGGUCUGCAGGCAGCUGGGCCGUGGCUGGGCCGUGGCAUUCCCAGGAAAUGCCUGGUUUGAUCAGGGCUCAGGACCCAUUGUCCUGGAUGAUGUGUGCUGCUCAGGGAAUGAGUCCUAACUGUGGAGCUGCCCGCACAAUGGCUGGCUCUCCCACAGCUGUCAGCACAGUGAAGAUGCUGUGUCAUCUGUUCAGAUGGGCCUCCAAGACCUUGG
rnacentral:lncRNA from 1 species